AACCUGGUUGAUCCUGCCAGUUGUCAUAUGCUUGUCUCAAAGAUUAAGCCAUGCAUGUCUAAGUUCAGCUUCAGAACAGUGAAACCGCGAACGGCUCAUUAAAUCAGUCUUGGUUUAUUUGAUAGUAAACCUUACUUGGAUAACUGUGGUAACUCUAGAGCUAAUACUUGCCGAAACCCUGUUACGACGGGGGGCUUUUAUUAGAUUCAAGACUACGCCUCGGUAUUUACCGUGGAUUUUGUUGAACUCUGGAUAACUGCAGGACCGCAGAAGCCUUAGUGCUGGCGGCGUAUCUUUCAAGUGUCUGCCCUAUCAACUUUGGACGGUAGUGUACCGGACUACCGUGGUUGUAACGGGUAACGGGGAAUCAGGGUUCGAUCCCGGAGAAGGAGCCUGAGAGACGGCUACUACAUCUAAGGAAGGCAGCAGGCGCGUAAAUUACCCAAUCCCCGAACGGGGAGGUAGUGACGAAAAAUAACAAUAUGAAGCCCUUGUGGUUUUGUGAUUGGAAUGGACGGGAUUUAAAAUCUCCCGUGAGGAUCUAGUGGAGGGCAAGUCUGGUGCCAGCAGCCGCGGUAAUACCAGCAUCCACAAGCAUAUACAAAAGUUGCUGCGUUUAAAAAGCUCGUAGUUGGAUCUGUUGAUUGAGUCUCGUACAGCCCGGUUAACCUUCGGGUGCCGGGGAGACUUGAGCACCUGAGCCAUUAAGGUCGCUUGCACUUAACUGUGUGAGUGAUCGAGAUGGAGGUUUUACUUUGACUAAAUUAGAGUGUUCAAAGCAGCCUUUGGGCUUGAAUAUCAGAGCAUGGAAUAAUGGAAAAGGGCCUGUGUCCCAAUCAUGUUGGUCUAUGGAGAUACGGUAAUGAUUAACAGGGACAGUCGGGGGCAUUCGUAUUGCCACGUUAGAGGUGAAAUUCUUGGAUCGUGC
rnacentral:rRNA from 1 species